rnacentral:rRNA from 1 species
UUAAGCGACUAAGCGUACACGGUGGAUGCCCUGGCAGUCAGAGGCGAUGAAGGACGUGCUAAUCUGCGAUAAGCGUCGGUGAGGUGAUAUGAACCGUUAUAACCGGCGAUUUCCGAAUGGGGAAACCCAGUGUGUUUCGACACACUAUCAUUAACUGAAUCCAUAGGUUAAUGAGGCGAACCGGGGGAACUGAAACAUCUAAGUACCCCGAGGAAAAGAAAUCAACCGAGAUUCCCCCAGUAGCGGCGAGCGAACGGGGAGGAGCCCAGAGCCUGAAUCAGUGUGUGUGUUAGUGGAAGCGUCUGGAAAGGCGCGCGAUACAGGGUGACAGCCCCGUACACAAAAAUGCACAUGCUGUGAGCUCGAUGAGUAGGGCGGGACACGUGGUAUCCUGUCUGAAUAUGGGGGGACCAUCCUCCAAGGCUAAAUACUCCUGACUGACCGAUAGUGAACCAGUACCGUGAGGGAAAGGCGAAAAGAACCCCGGCGAGGGGAGUGAAAAAGAACCUGAAACCGUGUACGUACAAGCAGUGGGAGCCUCUUAAUGGGGUGACUGCGUACCUUUUGUAUAAUGGGUCAGCGACUUAUAUUCUGUAGCAAGGUUAACCGAAUAGGGGAGCCGAAGGGAAACCGAGUCUUAACUGGGCGUUAAGUUGCAGGGUAUAGACCCGAAACCCGGUGAUCUAGCCAUGGGCAGGUUGAAGGUUGGGUAACACUAACUGGAGGACCGAACCGACUAAUGUUGAAAAAUUAGCGGAUGACUUGUGGCUGGGGGUGAAAGGCCAAUCAAACCGGGAGAUAGCUGGUUCUCCCCGAAAGCUAUUUAGGUAGCGCCUCGUGAAUUCAUCUCCGGGGGUAGAGCACUGUUUCGGCAAGGGGGUCAUCCCGACUUACCAACCCGAUGCAAACUGCGAAUACCGGAGAAUGUUAUCACGGGAGACACACGGCGGGUGCUAACGUCCGUCGUGAAGAGGGAAACAACCCAGACCGCCAGCUAAGGUCCCAAAGUCAUGGUUAAGUGGGAAACGAUGUGGGAAGGCCCAGACAGCCAGGAUGUUGGCUUAGAAGCAGCCAUCAUUUAAAGAAAGCGUAAUAGCUCACUGGUCGAGUCGGCCUGCGCGGAAGAUGUAACGGGGCUAAACCAUGCACCGAAGCUGCGGCAGCGACACUAUGUGUUGUUGGGUAGGGGAGCGUUCUGUAAGCCUGUGAAGGUGGCCUGUGAGGGUUGCUGGAGGUAUCAGAAGUGCGAAUGCUGACAUAAGUAACGAUAAAGCGGGUGAAAAGCCCGCUCGCCGGAAGACCAAGGGUUCCUGUCCAACGUUAAUCGGGGCAGGGUGAGUCGACCCCUAAGGCGAGGCCGAAAGGCGUAGUCGAUGGGAAACAGGUUAAUAUUCCUGUACUUGGUGUUACUGCGAAGGGGGGACGGAGAAGGCUAUGUUGGCCGGGCGACGGUUGUCCCGGUUUAAGCGUGUAGGCUGGUUUUCCAGGCAAAUCCGGAAAACCAAGGCUGAGGCGUGAUGACGAGGCACUACGGUGCUGAAGCGACAAAUGCCCUGCUUCCAGGAAAAGCCUCUAAGCAUCAGGUAACAUCAAAUCGUACCCCAAACCGACACAGGUGGUCAGGUAGAGAAUACCAAGGCGCUUGAGAGAACUCGGGUGAAGGAACUAGGCAAAAUGGUGCCGUAACUUCGGGAGAAGGCACGCUGAUAUGUAGGUGAAGCGACUUGCUCGUGGAGCUGAAAUCAGUCGAAGAUACCAGCUGGCUGCAACUGUUUAUUAAAAACACAGCACUGUGCAAACACGAAAGUGGACGUAUACGGUGUGACGCCUGCCCGGUGCCGGAAGGUUAAUUGAUGGGGUUAGCGGUAACGCGAAGCUCUUGAUCGAAGCCCCGGUAAACGGCGGCCGUAACUAUAACGGUCCUAAGGUAGCGAAAUUCCUUGUCGGGUAAGUUCCGACCUGCACGAAUGGCGUAAUGAUGGCCAGGCUGUCUCCACCCGAGACUCAGUGAAAUUGAACUCGCUGUGAAGAUGCAGUGUACCCGCGGCAAGACGGAAAGACCCCGUGAACCUUUACUAUAGCUUGACACUGAACAUUGAGCCUUGAUGUGUAGGAUAGGUGGGAGGCUUUGAAGUGUGGACGCCAGUCUGCAUGGAGCCGACCUUGAAAUACCACCCUUUAAUGUUUGAUGUUCUAACGUUGGCCCCUAAUCGGGGUUGCGGACAGUGUCUGGUGGGUAGUUUGACUGGGGCGGUCUCCUCCUAAAGAGUAACGGAGGAGCACGAAGGUUGGCUAAUCCUGGUCGGACAUCAGGAGGUUAGUGCAAUGGCAUAAGCCAGCUUGACUGCGAGCGUGACGGCGCGAGCAGGUGCGAAAGCAGGUCAUAGUGAUCCGGUGGUUCUGAAUGGAAGGGCCAUCGCUCAACGGAUAAAAGGUACUCCGGGGAUAACAGGCUGAUACCGCCCAAGAGUUCAUAUCGACGGCGGUGUUUGGCACCUCGAUGUCGGCUCAUCACAUCCUGGGGCUGAAGUAGGUCCCAAGGGUAUGGCUGUUCGCCAUUUAAAGUGGUACGCGAGCUGGGUUUAGAACGUCGUGAGACAGUUCGGUCCCUAUCUGCCGUGGGCGCUGGAGAACUGAGGGGGGCUGCUCCUAGUACGAGAGGACCGGAGUGGACGCAUCACUGGUGUUCGGGUUGUCAUGCCAAUGGCACUGCCCGGUAGCUAAAUGCGGAAGAGAUAAGUGCUGAAAGCAUCUAAGCACGAAACUUGCCCCGAGAUGAGUUCUCCCUGAGACUUAGAGUCUCCUGAAGGAACGUUGAAGACGACGACGUUGAUAGGCCGGGUGUGUAAGCGCAGCGAUGCGUUGAGCUAACCGGUACUAAUGAACCGUGAGGCUUAACCUU